GGGCCCGCACAAGCGGUGGAGCAUGCGGCUUAAUUCGAUGAUACCCGUAGAACCUUACCUGGACUUGACAUAUAGGGAAAAACUAAAGAAAUUUAGUGUGCGUAAGCGCCCUAUACAGGUGGUGCAUGGCUGUCGUCAGCUCGUGUCGUGAGAUGUUGGUUAAGUCCCGCAACGAGCGCAACCCUCGUCCUAUGUUGCCAGCACGUAAUGGUGGGAACUCAUGGGAUACUGCCGGGGUCAACUCGGAGGAAGGUGGGGAUGACGUCAAGUCCUCAUGGCCCUUACGGGUAGGGCUACACACGUGCUACAAUGGCAGUGACAAUGGGAUAAUCCCCCAAAAGCUGUCUCAGU
rnacentral:rRNA from 1 species